GACGAACCGUGCGAACGGUGUUCGGAAUCACUGGGCUUAAAGGGCGCGUAGGCGGGCUGUCAAGUCUGGGGGGAAAUGCCGCGGCUCAACCGUGGAACUGCCUUAGAUACUGACGGCCUCGAGGAAGGUAGGGGCAUGCGGAACUGUAGGUGGAGCGGUGAAAUGCGUUGAUAUCUACAGGAACUCCGGUGGCGAAAGCGGCGUGCUGGACCUUUUCUGACGCUGAGGCGCGAAAGCUAGGGGAGCAAACGGG
rnacentral:rRNA from 1 species